UGUGGGGUGAGGCUUUGUUUUAGUUUUUUGUGUAGUAUUUUUUAGUAUUGCAUACUAGGAUGGGAGAGUGUUUUUUAGAUGAUUAAUGGAAACUGCUUGUAAAUGUUUUUUUUUUUAUUGUUUUAAGAUAAUGAAUAGAAAAUAUGGUGUUGAUAAGGCGUGGGUAGUUAUAACUGUUUUGAUUUGUAUGUAUAGUAAUUUUGUUGUUUAGGUUUGUAGUUUUGUUUUGGUUGUUGUUGAGAGUGCUUGUGUUUGGUGUUUAAUAAUGUGGAAGGUAUUGUUUUUUUUUUGUUAGUGGGGGUUUUUCUAUUUUAUUAGUUUGUUUAUAAUUUUUUUUUAAGUAGAGUGUUUUUAUUUUGUUUGGUUGUUUUUAAUUUUGGUGAGGUAAUUUGGAAGCUGGUCAUAUGUUUUUUAAAGACUUAGGUUUUUUUUUAAAGCUGGCUUCUGCUCAAUGAGUUUUUAAAUGGCGGCCUUAGCGUGAGGGUGGUAAAGUAGCAUAAUAAUUUGUGUUUUUAAUGGGCUCUGGUAUGAAUGGAGUUUUUGGCUGGGGAUGUCCUGUUUUUUGUUUUGAAUUAGUGUUAUGUUUAAGAAUAAAUUAUGUUUAUUUAAACUAAGAUAAGUCUUCGGAAAUUUUUUUUUGUGUUUUUUAGGGUAAAAUUGUGUGUAUUUUGUUUAGUCUAGUAUUAAUUUUAAAAGUUACUCCGGAGUUAACAGAAUGUUAUUUUUGAUAUAGUUGUUAUAUUAGAAAAAAUAUUACAUCGAUGUUGUAUUUUUAUUGAUGAGUGAGUAGAAGCAUUCAUUUUUGAGACUGUUCUUCUUUGAUUAAAUAUGACGUGAUAUUAGUUUAAUUCAUCGUGAGAUAGAAUUGUUUAUCUAGUUAAUUUUUUGGGUUGGUGUUUUAUUAGUACGAAAGGAUUGUUGAUAGAGUUUAAAAUUUUUUUUUUU
rnacentral:rRNA from 1 species